rnacentral:rRNA from 1 species
UACGUAGGGUGCGAGCGUUGUCCGGAUUUACUGGGCGUAAAGCGCGCGUAGGCGGAUCGCUAAGUCAGGGGUGAAAUCCCAAGGCUCAACCUUGGAACUGCCUUUGAUACUGACGAUCUGGAGAUCGGGAGAGGUUGGUGGAAUUCCGAGUGUAGAGGUGAAAUUCGUAGAUAUUCGGAGGAACACCAGAAGCGAAGGCGGCCAACUGGCCCGAUACUGACGCUGAGGCGCGAAAGCGUGGGGAGCAAACAGG